CGGAGCAACGCCGCGUGAACGAUGAAGGCCUUCGGGUCGUAAAGUUCUGUUGUUAGGGAAGAACAAGUAUCGUAGUAACUGCCGGUACCUUGACGGUACCUAACCAGAAAGCCACGGCUAACUACGUGCCAGCAGCCGCGGUAAUACGUAGGUGGCAAGCGUUGUCCGGAAUUAUUGGGCGUAAAGCGCGCGCAGGCGGUCCUUUAAGUCUGAUGUGAAAGCCCACGGCUCAACCGUGGAGGGUCAUUGGAAACUGGGGGACUUGAGUGCAGAAGAGGAAAGCGGAAUUCCACGUGUAGCGGUGAAAUGCGUAGAGAUGUGGAGGAACACCAGUGGCGAAGGCGGCUUUCUGGUCUGUAACUGACGCUGAGGCGCGAAAGCGUGGGGAGCAAACAGGAUUAGAUACCCUGGUAGUCCACGCCGUAAACGAUGAGUGCUAAGUGUUAGAGGGUUUCCGCCCUUUAGUGCUGCAGCUAACGCAUUAAGCACUCCGCCUGGGGAGUACGGCCGCAAGGCUG
rnacentral:rRNA from 1 species